UACGGGGGGAGCAAGCGUUGUUCGGAUUUAUUGGGCGUAAAGAGCUCGUAGGCGGCUUGUCGCGUCGACUGUGAAAACCCGAGGCUCAACUUCGGGCUUGCAGUCGAUACGGGCAGGCUAGAGUUCGGUAGGGGAGACUGGAAUUCCUGGUGUAGCGGUGAAAUGCGCAGAUAUCAGGAGGAACACCGAUGGCGAAGGCAGGUCUCUGGGCCGAUACUGACGCUGAGGAGCGAAAGCGUGGGGAGCGAACAGG
rnacentral:rRNA from 1 species